rnacentral:rRNA from 1 species
UGGGGAAUUUUGGACAAUGGGGGCAACCCUGAUCCAGCCAUGCCGCGUGUGUGAAGAAGGCCUUCGGGUUGUAAAGCACUUUAAGUGGGGAGAAAGGUUCGCCGGCUAAUACCCGGCGGAAGUGAUGUUACCCACAGAAUAAGCACCGGCUAACUCUGUG